rnacentral:rRNA from 1 species
AGACCCGAAACCCGGUGAUCUAGCCAUGGGCAGGUUGAAGGUUGGGUAACACUAACUGGAGGACCGAACCGACUAAUGUUGAAAAAUUAGCGGAUGACCUGUGGCUGGGGGUGAAAGGCCAAUCAAACCGGGAGAUAGCUGGUUCUCCCCGAAAGCUAUUUAGGUAGCGCCUCGUGAAUUCAUCUCCGGGGGUAGAGCACUGUUUCGGCUAGGGGGCCAUCCCGGCUUACCAACCCGAUGCAAACUGCGAAUACCGGAGAAUGUUAUCACGGGAGACACACGGCGGGUGCUAACGUCCGUCGUGAAGAGGGAAACAACCCAGACCGCCAGCUAAGGUCCCAAAGUCAUGGUUAAGUGGGAAACGAUGUGGGAAGGCCCAGACAGCCAGGAUGUUGGCUUAGAAGCAGCCAUCAUUUAAAGAAAGCGUAAUAGCUCACUGGUCGAGUCGGCCUGCGCGGAAGAUGUAACGGGGCUAAACCAUGCACCGAAGCUGCGGCAGCGAACGUAUCACCCAAGACAACUUUACGGAGUUGACGAUUGACGGAGCGAAGCGACGUCAAAGCGUUCAUUAAAGUCGAGUUGGCUUAGGGAUACGUUCGUUGGGUAGGGGAGCGUUCUGUAAGCCUGUGAAGGUGUGUCGUGAGGCAUGCUGGAGGUAUCAGAAGUGCGAAUGCUGACAUAAGUAACGAUAAAGCGGGUGAAAAGCCCGCUCGCCGGAAGACCAAGGGUUCCUGUCCAACGUUAAUCGGGGCAGGGUGAGUCGACCCCUAAGGCGAGGCCGAAAGGCGUAGUCGAUGGGAAACGGGUUAAUAUUCCCGUACUUGGUGUUACUGCGAAGGGGGGACGGAGAAGGCUAUGUUGGCCGGGCGACGGUUGUCCCGGUUUAAGCGUGUAGGUGUGUGUUCCAGGUAAAUCCGGUUCACUUUAACACUGAGGCGUGACGACGAGGCACUACGGUGCUGAAGCAACAAAUGCCCUGCUUCCAGGAAAAGCCUCUAAGCAUCAGGUAACACGAAAUCGUACCCCAAACCGACACAGGUGGUCAGGUAGAGAAUACCAAGGCGCUUGAGAGAACUCGGGUGAAGGAACUAGGCAAAAUGGUGCCGUAACUUCGGGAGAAGGCACGCUGACACGUAGGUGAAGUGAUUUACUCAUGGAGCUGAAGUCAGUCGAAGAUACCAGCUGGCUGCA